rnacentral:sRNA from 1 species
GCUGGGUGUAAUAGCACACACCUGUAGUACCAACUACUCAGGAGGCUGAGGUAGGAGGAUUGCUUGAGUCUAGGCAAGGAAUCUUAAAAAAAAAAAAAAGACAGGGUGGUGCAUGCCGGUGGUCCCAAGGACUGGGGGCCAAAGCCAGAGAAUUUUAAGUUCAUGGCUAGCAUAGGCAAUUUAGUGAGACCCUAUCUGGA